UCUUUCUGUUCAUUAUUGUUAUGUUAAUGUGAUGAUGGAAGAAUCAUGGGAUGUAAGAGAUGCAUACGAGGUUGCUUGUUUGGUUUUGGUGCUUUUGGUCUAAUGGGAGUUUGUCUUCGGUUUGGGUGGUUAAUUUAGGAACUCAAUGCUUCUGGCAUGCAUCACUUACACCCAUCAUCAAUGUAUUUUCCUUUGUUGUGAGUUUUAUAAAGGGAAUGAAUGAAUGAAUGACUUUGGUUUUCUUUA
rnacentral:lncRNA from 1 species